CAUGAUGUGGGCGAUUUCAAAGAACGUAUAUUAACAUCCGCUAACAAUUCCAAACAUAAUGAUUCCAACGUAUUUUGAUUGUACAUUGUUGAGUCAGAUGUAUAAGAAUGAAGCUACAAAUUUUGAUAUGGUGAAUAUGAAUUUUAUUUUCACCAAUGGAGGACACGAGAACACGCAAAAUCUUAAAGACGAUACUACACAGGUUUUGGAUUUUCGUCCAGUACAAUGUUCCGUAUAAAACGUUUGUUACUAACAGAAUUCCGGACAUGAAGUGUUGCUUUCGACUGUCGUUGUGGAUAUAGUCAGACGUGACAAAUGAAACAUUAAAGAAAAAGCUACGCAGCUGGUUUGAGUAGUGGAUGAGGCUGUGUAUGAAAGAAAAUGUGGACGUGGAGUGAAGUUAAAAGGGCUUUAUAACCGUUAAUAAUGGUCAGGAGGAAUUAGGAAGACUUUGAGAAAAGAAAGCAAAUGCGGAAUGAAAGAUCUUAUAAGAAAUGCAAACAAACUGGAGAACGUUGAGAACUAUAACUCUUGGAAAACACUUUGUAUCUGUUAGGUUUUGUGAUGUAGCCAUCUACCUUCUUUAGUAUAUAUUGACUUACAUCAACAAAUAGAGAUAUUACAGACAACUGUUAUGAUCACA